CUCCACCAUAUCCUUUUUGUCCGCUACAAGCUGCUGUAGCUGGCUUGCCAUCUUUGCUGAUGCUGUAUCUCAGACUGAUUCUAACAAGAGAAAAAAUAUUGACAUGGUCAGAAACAGUCUGUUGUGAUAUAUUUAAGAUAUUCUAGGAACAAGCAUACAGGGGAAAAACUGAACACAAAUGAGGCAGAAAGUAUCAGACAUUUCAGUUUUACCGACAGACACAAAUGUUGGGUUUUCUUGAUGUACUUACAGUUCUGUUCCAGUGUUGGUGGACUGCGGCCUGCCUUCUUGUUCCUCUUACAACACAGCAAAAACUGAUAAGGAAAGAAAGAAACAGCCAAGUGAGUUCAGUGCUGGCUGCUGGCCACACCCAGUGAGCGAUGAGUCAACAAUGCAAAGAGAAUUCAGCAGUGACAAAAAGCUGGGUCCCAGGGGUUGUGUUACUGCAGUCUGAGUGCAUGUGAAGCACCAUCACACACACAAUUUAAACAUAAAAGUGCUUAAAGAAAUCACAUUUUCAGAGACAGAGAGCUGCAGGUGCAUCUCACCAGAGAUAUGAAGUCCAGGCUAACAGACAAGCAUAACAAGUCUUGUUUUUGUAAACUAAUAUUUCCACCUAUGCCCAGUAAUAUACAGUGAUGGAAAGUAACAAAGUACAUUUACUGUACUGAAGUACAACCUUGAUGCACGUAACCUGAGUAUUUCCAUGUUAUGCUACUUUAUUUCAGAGGGAAACAUUGUACUCUUUACUCCACUGCAUUUAUUUGACAGCUAUAUAGUUACUACUACUUUUCAGAUUAAAAUUGUACAUAAAGAAAGAUAACCAUGUAAAAUAAAAUGCACCGUUAAUAAUGAUUUCCAACCAUUUAAGCUUGUGACCUAUAUCUAUGCUUGUGACCCCUUGUUAUAUUUCAGGUAUGAAAACUAACACACUUGUGAGAGGGUUUAAUUUAAAUAACUGUUUGAUGGUUACCUAUAUUUCAUAAAAACGCAAAUAUUAGUAAAAAGUCCCCAAAAAAAUGAAUAGAGAUUUGAGAAAUAGAUCUUUUGUUUUAGUUUUGUCUUGUUUCCUACCACAUUAAUUAUCUCCCAACAGUAAUCAUCAUGCAUCAGUAUCUAAUAAUGCAAUAAUAUGUCAGUCGAGGACAUUUUUCUGCAAGAUGAGUACUUUUGAUCUACUUUAAAUACAUUUAGCUGAUAGUACUUUUAUGUUGUAGUUUACAGUGUGGUAUUUGCACUUUGUUUUAGUUCAAACUGGUAAUAAAUAGUUUUAUGUAAUGUGCUGAACAACAGUAAGCUACAUUGGAAAUAUUUAACAGCAUUUGCGAUUAUGAUAAAAAAAAAAAAAAUAAACCGAAGUGAAA